GUGAGGAAUAUUGGUCAAUGGGUGGGAGCCUGAACCAGCCAAGUCGCGUGAAGGAAGAAGGAUCUAUGGUUCGUAAACUUCUUUUGCAGGGGAAUAAAGUGCAGGACGUGUCCUGUUUUGUAUGUACCCUGAGAAUAAGGAUCGGCUAACUCCGUGCCAGCAGCCGCGGUAAUACGGAGGAUCCGAGCGUUAUCCGGAUUUAUUGGGUUUAAAGGGUGCGUAGGUGGUUUGAUAAGUCAGCGGUGAAAGUUUGCAGCUUAACUGUAAAAAUGCCGUUGAAACUGUCGGACUUGAGUGUAAAUGAGGUAGGCGGAAUGCGUGGUGUAGCGGUGAAAUGCAUAGAUAUCACGCAGAACUCCGAUUGCGAAGGCAGCUUACUAAGCUACAACUGACACUGAAGCACGAAAGCGUGGGGAUCAAACAGGAUUAGAUACCCUAGUAGUCC
rnacentral:rRNA from 1 species